rnacentral:rRNA from 1 species
GCCCAGACUCCUACGGGAGGCAGCAGUGGGGGAUAUUGCACAAUGGGGGGAACCCUGAUGCAGCGACGCCGCGUGGGUGAAGGAGUAUUUCGGUAUGUAAAGCCCUAUCGGCAGGGAAGAAGCAAGACGGUACCUGACUAAGAAGCCCCGGCUAACUACGUGCCAGCAGCCGCGGUAAUACGUAGGGGGCAAGCGUUAUCCGGAUUUACUGGGUGUAAAGGGAGCGUAGACGGUUACGCAAGUCUGGAGUGAAAGGCGGGGGCCCAACCCCCGGACUGCUUUGGAAACUGUAUAACUGGAGUGCAGGAGAGGUAAGUGGAAUUCCUAGUGUAGCGGUGAAAUGCGUAGAUAUUAGGAGGAACACCAGUGGCGAAGGCGGCUUACUGGACUGUAACUGACGUUGAGGCUCGAAAGCGUGGGGAGCAAACAGGAUUAGAUACCCCCGUA